rnacentral:lncRNA from 1 species
UUUUUUUCGGAUAUAAACCCGUUCUGAAAUCGAGUUACAGGAGGCCUGGGCUUUUCCUUUUAAACAGAUGAAGUAGGGUGUGUGUGGGGGGGGGGAGAUGCUAUAAUUGGAUCACUUACUGUGUGACUAAUCACAGCCGCCGGUAACCACAGUGACUGUGGUUUUAACCUUACUUGGUCAUAUGCAAACCACCCGGCUGACCCAGCCAUCUGCAGCGAGGCGGGGGGCUGCCAUGCCGGGCGGUGGCACUGCACAGCAGGUCUGUCCCUGUCCCUGUCCUUGAGGUCGGGAGCGUGGUUGCACAGCGGGCAGGACUGGUGCCUGCAGCCAGAAAUCCAGAUCUGAAAUUAGGGGCUGAGGCUUGGCCUUGGAAAAAAAACGCCAAGCCCUGCACGUCCAUGUGUGACUGCAUCUGAUGGUGCCCACACUGCAGUUCAUCUAUUCCUGGCCAGGGAAGUCUGUGACAAGGGAUCGAGCAGAUUAAGAGUGGAUUCCUUGUUUGUUUGAGGGAGGACUAUCCCUAAAAGCCAUUAUUAACCUCCUUACCUCCAGGCAGCCUGCUGCCGGAGCCCCAGGAGCACGGCUUUCACCAGCUGACCCACCAGUUCAGGGCUACAGCCAGCACAGUGGGUCGCGGAGAUCAGGCAGGGCAAGAUGUGCAUCAAUGCCGUCUCAUUUCCGUGAAAUGAAUUAAAAGCAGCACAGUGAGGCCAGGGAACCCCACCUGCCCUGUGCAAGCUCAGACACCCGCACAGUUCGGGCUCAUUGUGAGCCCAGGUUUCUUUUUCACAGAGCAAGGACGGAAGGAAGCAACAAAUGGGAAGGAAACCGUCCUGCUGGUGAAAUCCAAAACCGGAUCGGUUGCAUCCAUCUUCCCUGCUCUGGCGUGCUGCAGUGCUGCUGUGUGCUGUUUUAGGAACUGGGACCGCUGCGUCGCUCCAGAGGAGACAGCACGAGACCCAAACAGGAAAGAGGUUGCCAGAAGAAGCCCCAUGGAGAUGCAGCAUCUGUUCCAUCUUUCUCUUUUUGCUCUAGUUUUAAUCCUUCAGCUGAAACACUUGGGCAGCGAGAUGCAGAAUUUGGUUUGAUCUGUUAUGUUUUCUGCAAAUCCUCAACCUAAUAUCACAUCCUGUAACACUUCAGGCAGCAGAUAUGUUUUGCAGAUUUUGCUUGACACCAGGCUGUAGUCAGAAAUUGCAGACAUUUUAAAGUAAUAUAGGUAGUAUAAAGGCAGAAUUUUUAAUAUAUCAAAGUAUUUAAUGCAUUAAAAAUACUUAGAAUUCCUUGAGAAACA